AGAACGAACGCUGGCGGCAUGCCUAAUACAUGCAAGUCGAACGAACACUUCGGUGUUAGUGGCGCACGGGUGCGUAACGCGUGGGAAUCUGCCCUUGGGUUCGGAAUAACAGUUGGAAACGACUGCUAAUACCGGAUGAUAUCGAAAGAUCAAAGAUUUAUCGCCCAGGGAUGAGCCCGCGUAGGAUUAGCUAGUUGGUGAGGUAAAGGCUCACCAAGGCGACGAUCCUUAGCUGGUCUGAGAGGAUGAUCAGCCACACUGGGACUGAGACACGGCCCAGACUCCUACGGGAGGCAGCGGUAGGGAAUAUGGACAAUGGGCGCAAGCCUGAUCCAGCAAUGCCGCGUGAGUGAUGAAGGCCUUAGGGUUGUAAAGCUCUUUUACCCGAGAUGAUAAUGACAGUAUCGGAGAAUAAGCCCCGGACUAACUCCGCGCCAGCAGCCGAC
rnacentral:rRNA from 1 species